rnacentral:rRNA from 1 species
CGGAAGGGGAGUGAAACAGUUCCUGAAACCGUGUGCCUACAAGUAGUUAGAGCCCGUUAAUGGGUGAUAGCGUGCCUUUUGUAGAAUGAACCGGCGAGUUACGAUUUGUUGCAAGGUUAAGCGGAAAAAGCGGAGCCGUAGCGAAAGCGAGUCUGAAUAGGGCGCAUAAGUAACAGGUCGUAGACCCGAAACCAGGUGAUCUACCCAUGUCCAGGAUGAAGGUAAGGUAAUACUUACUGGAGGUCCGAACCCACGCACGUUGAAAAGUGCGGGGAUGAGGUGUGGGUAGCGGAGAAAUUCCAAUCGAACUUGGAGAUAGCUGGUUCUCUCCGAAAUAGCUUUAGGGCUAGCCUCGAGGUAAAGAGUCAUGGAGGUAGAGCACUGUUUGGACUAGGGGCCCUUCUCGGGUUACCGAAUUCAGAUAAACUCCGAAUGCCAUGUACUUAUACUCGGGAGUCAGACUGCGAGUGAUAAGAUCCGUAGUCGAAAGGGAAACAGCCCAGACCACCAGUUAAGGUCCCCAAAUAUAUGUUAAGUGGAAAAGGAUGUGGGGUUGCUUAGACAACCAGGAUGUUGGCUUAGAAGCAGCCACCAUUGAAAGAGUGCGUAAUAGCUCACUGGUCGAGUGACCCCGCGCCGAAAAUGUACCGGGGCUAAACAUAUUACCGAAACUGUGGAUGAACCUCUUUAGAGGUUCGUGGUAGGAGAGCGUUCUAAGGGCGGUGAAGUCAGACCGGAAGGACUGGUGGAGCGCUUAGAAGUGAGAAUGCCGGUAUGAGUAGCGAAAGAAGGGUGAGAAUCCCUUCCACCGAAUAUCUAAGGUUUCCUGAGGAAGGCUCGUCCGCUCAGGGUUAGUCGGGACCUAAGCCGAGGCCGAUAGGCGUAGGCGAUGGACAACAGGUAGAGAUUCCUGUACCAGUGCUAAUUGUUUAACCGAUGGGGUGACACAGAAGGAUAGGGAAUCGCACGAAUGGAAAUGUGCGUCCAAGCAGUGAGUGUGAGAAGUAGGCAAAUCCGCUUCUCGCGAAGCAUGAGCUGUGAUGGGGAAGGAAAUUAAGUACGGAAGUUCCUGAUUUCACGCUGUCAAGAAAAGCCUCUAGGAAGAGUAGUACUGCCCGUACCGCAAACCGACACAGGUAGAUGAGGAGAGAAUCCUAAGGUGAGCGAGAGAACUCUCGUUAAGGAACUCGGCAAAAUGACCCCGUAACUUCGGGAGAAGGGGUGCUCUAUUAGGGUGCAAGCCCGAGAGAGCCGCAGUGAAUAGGCCCAGGCGACUGUUUAGCAAAAACACAGGUCUCUGCAAAACCGUAAGGUGACGUAUAGGGGCUGACGCCUGCCCGGUGCUGGAAGGUUAAGAGGAGUGCUUAGCUUCGGCGAAGGUACGAAUUGAAGCCCCAGUAAACGGCGGCCGUAACUAUAACGGUCCUAAGGUAGCGAAAUUCCUUGUCGGGUAAGUUCCGACCCGCACGAAAGGCGCAACGAUCUGGGCACUGUCUCAACGAGAGACUCGGUGAAAUUAUAGUACCUGUGAAGAUGCAGGUUACCCGCGACAGGACGGAAAGACCCCGUGGAGCUUUACUGCAACCUGAUAUGGAAUGUUUGUACCGCUUGUACAGGAUAGGUAGGAGCCGAAGAGACGUGUGCGCUAGCAUACGAGGAGGCAAUGGUGGGAUACUACCCUGGCUGUAUGACCAUUCUAACCCGCCACGCUUAGCGCGUGGGGAGACAGUGUCAGGUGGGCAGUUUGACUGGGGCGGUCGCCUCCUAAAGAGUAACGGAGGCGCCCAAAGGUUCCCUCAGAAUGGAUGGAAAUCAUUCGCAGAGUGUAAAGGCACAAGGGAGCUUGACUGCGAGACUGACAAGUCGAGCAGGGACGAAAGUCGGGCUUAGUGAUCCGGUGGUUCCGCAUGGAAGGGCCAUCGCUCAACGGAUAAAAGCUACCCCGGGGAUAACAGGCUUAUCUCCCCCAAGAGUCCACAUCGACGGGGAGGUUUGGCACCUCGAUGUCGGCUCGUCGCAUCCUGGGGCUGUAGUCGGUCCCAAGGGUUGGGCUGUUCGCCCAUUAAAGCGGCACGCGAGCUGGGUUCAGAACGUCGUGAGACAGUUCGGUCCCUAUCCGUCGCGGGCGCAGGAAAUUUGAGAGGAGCUGUCCUUAGUACGAGAGGACCGGGAUGGACACACCGCUGGUGUACCAGUUGUUCCGCCAGGAGCAUCGCUGGGUAGCUAUGUGUGGCAGGGAUAAACGCUGAAAGCAUCUAAGCGUGAAGCCCCCCUCAAGAUGAGAUUUCCCAUUUCUUCGGAAAGUAAGAUCCCUGAAAGAUGAUCAGGUAGAUAGGUUUGGAGUGGAAGUGUAGCGAUACAUGGAGCGGACAAAUACUAAUCGAUCGAGGACUUAACCAAAA